CUGAGAAUGAAUGGAAAUUUCCAGGAUUAGGUUUGAGUUAAGGAAGAAUUCUCCAAGAGUUUGGCAAGUCUUAGAGUGGAACCCAGUUUUUCUUAAGGGGAUUUACUCCCCAAUCCCUGGAACCUGCAUGGAUGGUCUGUGGGCUUUAGACUCACAGAGAAUAGGAUCGGCAUACAGGUGACACUGCUUCUAGCUGUGCUCCUCAGACAAUUUAUCUACCCUGCUAAAAAUCCCCUCACCCCGCUGGGAAUGGAGGUCAAACCUAUUACUGGGUGAUUGGGAUCAUUCAGUGACCAAGGGUAUGCAAAAUGCUUAUCCCAGUUCUAGAGUGGAUGAUGAGCAAAAAAAAAUGAACUUUUCUAAAUAAUUCUCAAAAAUUAUGGGUUGAAGAAAGAGCAGGAAAAAGCUGAAAUCUUGCCUAUGCAUAAGUUCUUCAUAAUUAUGUUCCUUUUUUUACUGUUAGGAAUAUUUGAGACAGCAUUCUAGCUUUGUGUGGGAAGUAACAAUAAAUGUCGAACUCUGAACAUGUACCAGAUUUAUAUUUCUUAAAACACUUGUAAAAUGAAUUGAAAGGUGAUAUUAUGGCAUCUUAGAGGUUUUGCUUUGGGGUUUUGUUUGUCGUGGCAUAUGGAAGUUUCCAGGCCAGGGAUUGACUUGUAGAAAAUGAAAGGUACUUGAGAUGAUUCAAAGUGUUUUCAAUGAGGAGAAACUUAUCCUGAAUUUCUCUUUAAUCGAAGAGGAACUGAUGUUGCAUUUUAAAGUAGCAUUAAUAAUGGGAAAGAAAAAGAACUGUAUAUCAAGUGAGAAGUGGUAAUACGGAAUAAUCACAGAGUAUAGCAGCUAAAUGCCUGUCUUUAAGAUUCUAGAGAGGAAUAUAGUUUUCAAAGCCCUUUGGUAACGGGCUUCUUAAAACAUCCAAUGGGGUUUGAACUGGGGGAUACGAACACUUAGUUCCAUGGGAGGCAGGCUAUUCUUAGCAGCUGGAAUCUCCAGGGAACAGGUCCAGAGUCUUUGCUCCAAUGCAAAUCGUAUUUAAUUCACCAAGCAGCGGAUUCCUGAGGCACCCCUACUGCAUCCAGAGCUAUUCCUGGGAAGGCAGGAAGCAGGGGUGCCCCUCACCUACAAGGACCAUAAGCCAGAUUGGGGAGGUCAACACAUGCUCCUAAAAGGAGGAGUUGGUACUGGCAGUGACUUCCCAAGUUGUUGAGAAGAGAGAAGGAACAUUGUGUGUGGCAGUUGAUGAUCACCUUUGUGGAGGACGGGAGGACUGAGCGGGGUCUCGAAAAUCAGUGGGAGUUUCUGUCUUCCUGUCUCAAUAAAUGGCAGCACCACUCAUCUGGGUGUUCAGUCCAAAGCCCUAGAAAUGAUACUCGCUUCCACUUUCCCGCAUCCCUCAAUCCAGACUCUCAGCCAUCCCUACACCUUCUACCUCCAAAAUGUAUCUUGACUCUCACCAUCUCUGUAGCCAUCAUCUUGGGUCAGGCCACCAUCAUUUCUCUGAAAUGCUUCAGUAGGUUAACCAGACUCGCUCUCUCCCUGCUGGGCCCAUCCUUGAAUCCAUUUUCCAUAAAAGAAAUGGUGUGAUGAGGUCACCCCUGAGAUGGAAACUCUUCAGAGGUUUCCCUCUGGGCUACAGAUGAGGUCUUCGCUCCUCACCUGGCUGACUAGGCCCUGUAGGAUGUGGUCCAGAUUCGCCCCUGUUCUUCUCCCCUUAGCCUACCAGGGUCCAGCCACACUGCCCUCCUAGGAUGCUGGGAGCCAGUUAGAUGUACAAUAGAGAAAAAGCAUGUGAACAUUCCCGAAGGCCAUGUAAAGAGAUCAGCUCAAACUUAGCGAGAAAGCUUGGUUUGAGAAUGAUUCUGCCACACACACGGGGGCAUCUAAGUGGAAAAUACCAGCAGCACGGCUUAGUGUCAAGGACCCCCAGGGAAGCCUCCUUUUAUAUUUCAAAAUGUGUCUCCUUUACCAGCUUCAUUGAAUUCUCUCCCAGGGUGAUAUAGUUCAUUAAAUCCCCGCCAAGAAGUGUAGCCAGUAUUUCCUGUGCAUCAAGUAUUAUACUGGGUACAGGAGCUAUAAGAAAAGAGACUUUUACAGUAGAAAGUUGACAAAAUACUAUAAACCAGCUAAAAU
rnacentral:lncRNA from 1 species